UUUUCGACGGAGCGGGUAGUGACUCCUUAAAUAAGCCUCUAGCAACUGUUGUUUUGUUUUUUUGUCUUUGUCUUUAGAAUUGGGGUAUCGAGUGACACUAUGAGAGUCGUCAGCUCAACAGGGUUAUGAAUGUGGGUAACAUCCAGUGAAAUUGAUACUGGGUGCUACUAUAUGAAAGAAGUGAAAGGUGAUCAAUGAAUGGUGAUGAAUAACAGGUCGGGGUAAUUGUUGUGCUUAGGGUUGUGCUGUUUAGAUGUUGGUGUUUGUGCUUCGUUACGUUUUUUUUUUAUAAAUUGUUGUUGUCUCGUCUUCUGUGACAGAUUUUUUUUUUACAUUUGAUAAAAUUUAGACUGGUUGUGCGCUCCAGGCUCUAUGGCUGAGGGCAGCCGUGUUUCUCACCCAGUUCGAAACCUCUCGUGGGUAGGGGGGUAUUGUAACGAAGCAUUUCGGACCAACGAGCCUUGUAGCGACAUCUUGUGGUUUCUGACGAUAUAACGUUGUUUUUAUAUUUUACCCGCAGGAAAUCACAGAUGGCGCUGCAGGGUUAUCGAUGGGCCCGAAUAUUUUUAAUUAUUUUAUUUUCUUCAAAAAUUUGGUAUAUUAAAAUUAUCUGCAACAUUUAUUUUUGAUAUAUUAUAAUUAUAUUGUUUAAAUUUUGGGAUCAAACAAGUCGAUCGAUUGUUGUCGUUGAUUCGGCGAAUUUAUGGUUUGGUAGAUUUUUUCUAGUUUGGCAACUUUGUUCGUGGGUUUUGUGUCAGACUGACAGCUGGCUGAGCUGAGACAGGUUUUGGAAAGUGGGGACGUCGCGAGAGCGCCGGAGACUCCAUUGCCGAAACCCAAAUGUGGGCAAAUUAAAGCCACAAUGUAUUGGCGGCAUCAAGAGCCGAUGUAACCAUUUAUAUAAAUAACUUAACCGAGAUGCAACAUCACUGAAAUCCCAUCGCCUAAGGUCCAGUGGGUGGGAUUAGGUUUCAUCCGAGCGAUGCCCAACUAUCCCGGAUGAACCUGUAAGUUAUUUUCUUUGUUUUACACUCGUGAGUUGCCUUGCCACGCUGUCAGCUGAACCACAUGCUAAUCAUUGCCAUUCCUUGUUGCAGAUGGGGUUUUAAUUGUUUUUAAAGUUUUAAAGGUUUAAAGUUUUGAGUUUUUUUAAAGUUUUGAGUUUUAAAAGUUUUUAAAGUUUUUUGUUUUGCUUUAAGUUUUUAACGUUUUGAAGUUUUAACGUUUUUGCAAGUUUUUAACGUCGAACGUUUUGCAAGUUUUAAUCUAAGAAGAAGUUUAUGAUUGGAUCAGACUAUUUCAACAAAUUUUGUGAAUGAAGAUUGCUACUGUUUUCUUCUGCGUUUGCAAGUUAUUUCAAGCUUCAUUUCGGCGGAGCUUGCCUUGGUUGUUUGCACGACGAAGCUUUCCUUUGUGCGGCGCGCAUGUGGAUGUGCCGCGCCUCUCCUUUUGUCAACACACCGGAUAAGGCCCGGUGAAGGUCUGCGAGGUUGACCGGUGGACGUGCAGCCCGCCAGCUGCGUAACAGUUGGCCCGCUGCGCCGCCAUCGUCCAGCACGCCCUGGCCUGAGCCGGCCUCAACUCAUCACCUGUACAGUAUUCCGGAACGCCUCAGGUAGGCCUGAUAGUCGGAGGUCCUCGAGUAAGUGAGGUGCCUACAGGUGUACGGACAGUGUUUUUAAAUAUAGUGAUAUCCCAUGGUUGUUACGGAGUGACAAUUAACCUGACGGACCAAAGCGCGACCUGUCUCCCUCCAUAGGGUUUUUGACCUACCUAUGGUUAAUGAAAUUUGUAGAUUUAAAAAAUAUACAUUGUACAAAUUCAA